rnacentral:lncRNA from 1 species
CUCCAAGGUCUCUAGCUGUCCUCUGGCUGCAUGGCCCACUUCAGCAUGAGGGCUGAGUCUCCAAGGGCAGUCCCAAGAGAACCAGCAGACACUGUCUCACCAUUUGUGACCCAGCCUCAGAAGCCACAUAGCAUCACUUACCUGGAGUGGCACGCAAGCCUGCCUAGAGUCAAGAGGAAGAAAGGAAACCCCAACUCUCAGCAGAAUUGCCAGAAUCUCCAUGUCAGAAGAGCACGUUUGGAGGCAGAUCCUGCUGCCAUCCACUUCGCAGAAUGCAGAGCGUGCCCGAGGAGAAGUGGGGUCUGGCUCAGCGUGUGGCUACCUGGACCAAUUCUGUCUGAUGGGGUGUGCAGUAGUGUCAUGAACUACUUCUAUCCCAGGAAGUAACUUGUAAAUGAGUGGAUGAGCCAAUUCUCCUUCUUUCUCUUCCUGCUGGCUGAAGUGUGGACAUGAUGGCAGGAGCUGCAGCAGUCACAUUGGACCAUGGGUCAUCGUGGGAAUGGAAGUCACACAAGGGUAUUUAAAGCCACACAAGGAUAAUGAGCACUGGAUAGAUGGAGCCCGAGUCCCCAUCACAGUGUAGCCCCUGUAACAGAUCUAGACUUCCUGCCUCCCACAUUGAGUAAACUGCUCUCUUGCUUAAGCCACUAUUAUGUUAGGAUUUUUUCAACCCAUAGUCAGAGAUAGUCCUAACUGAUUCACCACCCUCAGAGAGUUUACAGCCAAUUAUGUUUCUCAUGAAAAAGGUUAGCCAGUGGUUGUAAGUGAUCCCGGACUGGAGCGCCAGCUGCACUAAGGCAGUUCGUCUGUGGGAUGGCUCUGUCCUUGUCAGGGAGAGGACCCCUCCUACACACUGGCAUGUUACCACAAGUACAGUGGUAACUAAGCAGGUCGGCAUAGGUGCCCACAGAGCAGACUGAACACCCCGUUUGCUUCCCUCUCCUCUCCGAACUCCCUGGACAUGGCCAAGUAGCAUAAGCCAAGCAGAGGUGAGAAGGAGAGUGGGGCACAGGCAAGUUACCAGUGGGCCCGCGGCUAUCAUGGACUUCCAGAAAAUAAAAAACAGGCAUGAUGGUGUUGGUUUAUAAACCAAAGCAGAGGGCACUGGAGCCCCGUAAGUGUGCAGGAGUGAAUGUAUGUGGCAGGGAGAAGGGUAGAAGGGAGGAGGUUGGGUAGAAGGCUACCUCUACCAGCUGGAAAUGAGUGGUGAAGUCAGCUGGACUUCUGGGUGGGGCGGGGACUUGGAGAACUUUUCUGUCUUACAAAGGGAUUGUAAAAUGCACAAAUCAGCACUCUGUAGAUAGGAUUGUAAAACGCACCAAUCAGCUCUCUGUGGCUAGCUAGAGGUUUCUAAAAUGGACCAAUCAGUGCUUUGUAAAGUGGACCAAUCAGAACACUGUAAAAUGGACCAAUUAGUGCUCUGUAAAAUGGACCAAUCAGACCAAUCAGCACUCUGUAAAAUGGACCAAUCAGCAGGACAUGGGUGGGGACAAAUAAGGGAAUAAAAGCUGGCCACCCUCCAGUCAGCAGCAGGCAACCCACUGGGUCCCCAUCCCUGUUGUGGUGUAUUUGUUAUUUUGCUCUUGGCAAUAAAUCUUGCUGCUGC